rnacentral:rRNA from 1 species
CCGUAGCCCAAGAGACUGGGAUAACACCUGGAAACAGAUGCUAAUACCGGAUAACAACACUAGACGCAUGUCUAGAGUUUAAAAGAUGGUUCUGCUAUCACUCUUGGAUGGACCUGCGGUGCAUUAGCUAGUUGGUAAGGUAGCGGCUUACCAAGGCAAUGAUGCAUAGCCGAGUUGAGAGACUGAUCGGCCACAUUGGGACUGAGACACGGCCCAAACUCCUACGGGAGGCAGCAG